rnacentral:sRNA from 1 species
UCAAUAAUCUACGGAUACAGUGUCACGU